rnacentral:rRNA from 1 species
AGCGAACGCUGGCGGCAGGCUUAACACAUGCAAGUCGAGCGGGCGUAGCAAUACGUCAGCGGCAGACGGGUGAGUAACGCGUGGGAACGUGCCCUUUGGUUCGGAACAACACAGGGAAACUUGUGCUAAUACCGGAUAAGCCCUUACGGGGAAAGAUUUAUCGCCGAAGGAUCGGCCCGCGUCUGAUUAGCUUGUUGGUGAGGUAACGGCUCACCAAGGCUACGAUCAGUAGCUGGUCUGAGAGGAUGAUCAGCCACACUGGGACUGAGACACGGCCCAGACUCCUACGGGAGGCAGCAGUGGGGAAUAUUGGACAAUGGGGGCAACCCUGAUCCAGCCAUGCCGCGUGAGUGAUGAAGGCCCUAGGGUUGUAAAGCUCUUUCGGCGGGGAAGAUAAUGACGGUACCCGCAUAAGAAGCCCCGGCUAACUUCGUGCCAGCCGCCGCAGUAAUAC